UACGUAGGCACCAAGCGUUGUUCGGAAUUACUGGGCGUAAAGCGCACGUAGGCGGGUUGUUAAGUUGGGGGUGAAAUCCUGGAGCUCAACUCCAGAACUGCCUCCAAAACUGGCGAUCUUGAGUUCGGGAGAGGUGAGUGGAACUGCGAGUGUAGAGGUGCAAUUCGUAGAUAUUCGCAAGAACACCAGUGGCGAAGGCGGCUCACUGGCCCGAUACUGACGCUGAGGUGCGAAAGCGUGGGGAGCAAACAGG
rnacentral:rRNA from 1 species